AGUAGCGAACGGGUGAUCACUAUAGAAAUAGGCCCAAAUAUUUCGUUUAAAACUUACAAAAUUUAUUGUUUUUGGGAGAGUCUAUAUAAAAUUAAGUAGUUGGUAGAUUUAUAGUUUACCAAGCUUAUGAUUUUUAGUUGAUUUGUGAGAAUGAACAACCACAUUGGAAUUGAGAUAAGGUCCAAACUCUAUAUUAGAGGCAGCAGUGGGGAAUCUUGGGCAAUGAACGAAAGUUUGACCCAGUUAAACUACUUAUGUGAUGAAAAUGAAUAAUUGUAAAACAUAUUCUUUAGAUUAAAUCAUGAUUUAAUCUAUUGAUUUAGUUCUGGCUAAUUUCGUGCCAGCAGCCGCGGUAAAACGAGAAGGACUAGCGUUAUUCAAAUUGACUGGGCGUAAAGUAUAUGUAGGUGGAAAAAUAAACUGACAAACUAAAGUUUAGACUUCAAGUUAAAAAAAUUUUGUCAAAUUAAUUUUCUUGAGUUUAGGAACAGGUUAUAGAAUUUUAAGUGUAACGGUAAAAUGUAUUGAUAUUUCAAAGAAUCUCAAUAGUUGAAGACGACUAUCUAGAUUAAAACUGAACCUGAGAUAUGCAAGCGUGAGUAGCAAACGGGAUUAAUACCUUGUAUCCAU
rnacentral:rRNA from 1 species